rnacentral:rRNA from 1 species
UAGAGUUUGAUUUUGGCUCAGGAUGAACGCUAGCGGCAGGCCUAAUACAUGCAAGUYGAACGGACGGUAGCCAUCCCKUUAGUGGCGCUCGGGUGBGUAACGCGUAACCAACCUACCCCMCCAAUGGGGGAUAGCCCGCCGAAAGGCGGAUUAAUACCGCAUAAGCUUGAUGACCGGCAUCGGUUAUUUAGUAAAGAUUGAUUGGUUGUGGAUGGGGUUGCGUAGCAUUAGCUAGUUGGCGGGGUAAGGGCCCACCAAGGCGACGAUGCUUAGGGGACCUGAGAGGGUGAUCCCCCACACUGGCACUGAGAUACGGGCCAGACUCCUACGGGAGGCAGCAGUAGGGAAUAUUGGGCAAUGGGCGAGAGCCUGACCCAGCCAUGCCGCGUGCCGGAUGAAGGCCUUCUGGGUUGUAAACGGCUUUUCUCAGGGAAGAAAAAGACCUUGCGAGGUACACUGACGGUACCUGAGGGAUAAGCACCGGCUAACUCCGUGCCAGCAGCCGCGGUAAUACGGAGGGUGCAAGCGUUGUCCGGAUUUAUUGGGUUUAAAGGGUGCGUAGGUGGCCGGGUAAGUCCGGGGUGAAAGCCCACAGCUCAACUGUGGAACUGCCCUGGAUACUGCCCGGCUUGAGACUCGUCGAGGGUGGCGGAAUGGACGGUGUAGCGGUGAAAUGCAUAGAUACCGUCCAGAACCCCAAUUGCGUAGGCAGCUGCCUAGGCGAGAUCUGACACUGAGGCACGAAAGCGUGGGGAGCGAACAGGAUUAGAUACCCUGGUAGUCCACGCCGUAAACGAUGGAUACUCGUUGCCAGCGAUAGAGAGUUGGUGACUUAGCGAAAGCGGUAAGUAUCCCACCUGGGGAGUACGCUCGCAAGAGUGAAACUCAAAUGAAUUGACGGGG